rnacentral:rRNA from 1 species
GGANUGCANUGGGCGAAAGCCUGAUGCAGCGACGCCGCGUGGGGGAUGAAGCUUUUCGGAGUGUAAACCCCUUUCGACUGGGACGAAUGCCCGCAAGGGAGUGACGGUACCAGUAUAAGAAGCCCCGGCUAACUACGUGCCAGCAGCCGCGGUAAGACGUAGGGGGCCAGCGUUGUUCGGAAUUACUGGGUGUAAAGGGUUCGUAGGCGGUGUGGCAAGUCGGGAGUGAAAUCUCUAGGCUCAACCUGGAGACUGCUUCCGAAACUGCUGUGCUCGAGUGUGAGAGAGGCUCGUGGAAUUGCAGGUGUAGCGGUGAAAUGCGUAGAUAUCUGCAGGAACACCCGUGGCGAAAGCGGCGAGCUGGAUCACUACUGACGCUGAGGAACGAAAGCUAGGGGAGCAAACAGGAUUAGAUACCCUGGUAGUCCUAGCCCUAAACGAUCAGGACUUGGGGUGCCGCCCGUUCGGGCGUCGUCCCGGAGCUAACGCGUUAAGUCCUGCACCUGGGGAGUACGGUCGCAAGACUGAAACUCAAAAAAAUUGACGGA